rnacentral:rRNA from 1 species
UGACAAAGUUUAACGGCCGCGGUACCCUAACCGUGCGAAGGUAGCAUAAUCACUUGUUCUUUAAAUAGGGACUCGUAUCAACGGCAUCACGAGGGCUAUACUGUCUCCUUUCUCCAAUCAGUGAAACUGAUCUUCCCGUGAAGAAGCGGGAAUUAUUAUAUAAGACGAGAAGACCCCAUGGAGCUUUAAACUCAAUAUAUAUUUCUACGCACUUAUAUCACUUUUAGCCUAAGAAAACUAUGUAUUAGUUUUAGGUUGGGGGGACCGCGGAGAAAAAAUUAACCUCCACGACAAAUAGGCCAACGCCUUUAUCUAUGAACCACAAUUCUAAGAAUCAAUAAACUGAUGUUUAAUGAUCCAAUUUUUUGAUCAACGAACCAAGUUACCCUGGGGAUAACAGCGCAAUCUACUUCAAGAGCUCCUAUCGACAAGUGGGUUUACGACCUCGAUGUUGGAUCAGGGUAUCCUAGUGGUGCAGCCGCUACUAAAGGUUCGUUUGUUCAACGAUUAUAACCCUACGUGAUCU